rnacentral:rRNA from 1 species
CCUGGCUCAGGAUGAACGCUAGCGGGAGGCCUAAUACAUGCAAGUCGAACGAGAGCGACCAGUGCUUGCACUGGUCAAUCUAGUGGCGAACGGGUGAGUAACACGUGGGUAACCUGCCCAUCAGAGGGGGAUAACAUUCGGAAACGGAUGCUAAAACCGCAUAGGUCUUCGAACCGCAUGGUUUGAAGAGGAAAAGAGGCGCAAGCUUCUGCUGAUGGAUGGACCCGCGGUGCAUUAGCUAGUUGGUGAGGUAACGGCUCACCAAGGCCGUGAUGCAUAGCCGACCUGAGAGGGUGAUUGGCCACAUUGGGACUGAGACACGGCCCAAACUCCUACGG